rnacentral:rRNA from 1 species
AGAGUUUGAUCCUGGCUCAGGAUGAACGCUAGCGGCGCGCCUAACACAUGUAAGUCGUGCGCGAAAGGCCCCGCAAGGGGACGAGUAGAGCGGCGAACGGGUGAGUAAUACGUGGCUGAUUUGCCCUCUCGCCAGGGAUAACCACUCGAAAGGGUAGCUAAUACCUGAUGUUGCUGGGGGGCUGUAUGGCUCCCCAGCCAAAGGUCCCGCAAGGGACCGUGAGAGGAGGGGGCCACGUCCUAUCAGCUAGUUGGCGGGGUAAUGGCCCACCAAGGCGAUGACGGGUAGCCGGGCUGAGAGGCUGUCCGGCCACAUGGGGACUGAGACACGGCCCCGACUCCUACGGGAGGCAGCAGUGGGGAAUCUUGGGCAAUGGGCGCAAGCCUGACCCAGCGACGCCGCGUGGGGGAUGAAGGCCUUCGGGUCGUAAACCCCUUUUCUGGGGAAAGAAUAAGUGGGGGAGGCAAUGCCCUCACGAUGACGGUACCCCAGGAAUAAGGGACGGCUAACUCUGUGCCAGCAGCCGCGGUAAGACAGAGGUCCCGAGCGUUAUCCGGAUUCACUGGGCGUAAAGGGCGUGUAGGCGGCUGGAUAAGUCUCCUGUGAAAGUCCUCGGCUUAACUGGGGGAGGUCAGGUGAUACUGUCCGGCUCGGGUGCAGGAGGGGGGAGUGGAACUACCGGAGUAGCGGUGAAAUGCGCAGAUACCGGUAGGAACCUCAAUGGCGAAGGCAACUCCCUGGUCUGUCACCGACGCUGAGGCGCGAAAGCGUGGGGAGCGAAAGGGAUUAGAUACCCCUGU